rnacentral:rRNA from 1 species
CGGAACGGGUGAGUAACGCGUGAGGAACCUGCCUCAAAGAGGGGACAACAGUUGGAAACGACUGCUAAUACCGCAUAAGCCCACGGGUCGGCAUCGACCAGAGGGAAAAGGAGCAAUCCGCUUUGAGAUGGCCUCGCGUCCGAUUAGCUAGUUGGUGAGGUAACGGCCCACCAAGGCGACGAUCGGUAGCCGGACUGAGAGGUUGAACGGCCACAUUGGGACUGAGACACGGCCCAG